rnacentral:snoRNA from 1 species
CUGCAUGCCAGUAGACCUUAUCUGGCUCUUCUAAUAGCCAGACGAGGGGGAUGGUGUAUGCUACAAAAACCUGGAGUUGCUGUAGGCUGUUUUCAGCUGUGAUGUGGCUGGUAGAACUGCAAUACUCCAACAAAU